UGGGAAAGAAGGAAUUGGAACCGGCUGUGGCUGCCUCCCAGCCACAUGGGCUGCAGAUAGAGCUGCGCAUCGGAGAGGGGGAAGGGAACAGAAGUAAACUAAUCGUCGUCUGUUCCCCCCUUUGUCGUCCCCACCCCCAUUUUUCCCUUCUAUUUAGAAACCUGCCAAAAGCAAUAGUUACGGUUUACCACGGAUUGAGGACUUUCUAUUGUGUUGAGCAAACAGCAUUCAGAGGACCAAGCCAGUUAUAGUACAUCAGAAUAAAUUUUAAUUCUUUCUCCUCACCGUCCUGCUCAGUAGGUUCCCUACAAAGCUGCCAAUGAGGAUGCGGUUGAACAUGGCUCCAGCUCCAUGAAGGGCUUGUCAGAGUGAUCCAGAUGCUCUUCAGAAAUAAUUCCUGUUUUUAAAGAUUCUUCUUUCUCAACAGCACAAAAAUUCAGAGGGAAAGGAAGGUGUUGGAAGCAUAUUGAAAAUGAAGCAGACUAGAUUGUGAAGAACAAUCCUCUCCCUCCUCCAGGUAUCACCAUGAGAACCAAUGACCAGGUUUGAAAGUUGCAGUCUUCUGAGAAGUCCGAAGUUACUUGGACAGUGCAUCCUGAGUUCUAUUCUGAACUGUUCUGAACUGUUUUCUUUGAUUAAGACCUCAUACAUAUUACUCAUGUACCACAGUGGAUUUAGAAUAUUAAUUUAUACAGUCAUAUACAAUAUCAUUUUUAUUUCUGUAGCCUUCUAUAAUAUGAAUAGAAUAAUAUGUCGUAGAGUCUUGAGAGGGCUUAUGUCUAGUCUUGUUCAAUUUGUCAUUGUAAAAUUAAGUGUCCAAAAAACCCUAUUUCAGAUUAAUGUUGGAUGUUUAGGUAUGUACAUCAGCAUUGUUCUGGCAGUGUUGUUUUAGCUCACAUUUUUUUUUCCACCUCCCCGCCUGUUUGUUUUAUGUAAUGGGUAGUGUUUUUGCACAAAAUUAGGAAAAUAAGCCUGUACCAAAACUGACAUCCUCAAAGUAAUAAAACUUAAUAGAAGCCACAUUUGUGAUGAACUUCUUGUUAACAAGAAUCUAUAGGAUCACUGCCAACAUAUCAUGUUACAGAUAUCUCAUUCUUAAUCAAUGUAAGUUCAGAAACUUGGUUUCAGAGGUAGAGGAAGGGAAUAGAGGCAGAAGAGAGAACUACAACUUAAGGGUAGAAUCUUGUUGAUUUAUAUUUUUGUGGUAUUUUUAGGUUAUUUAUUGAGGUUUGUUAGCAUGAAUGGCUUAUUUGAUUGUCCUUGUUAUUUCAUAAAUAAUUUUACAUUUCAGUGACUAGUUAUAGCUGACCUAGUCUUGAUUGUACAGGCCAUGUGAGAAAAGAGAGUAAACACUAUUGCCACAAGGGAACUUGCUUAACAGAAACCAGUGCUGUCCAGUCUAAAAGUAUGGACUGGUCUUUAAAAAAAAUCCUCAUUUAGCUGGAAUCUCAAAUAAAAAAAUAUACUUGUGCCUGUGGUAUAAUGUAUAUGUACUUAGAGAAAAGUGCAGCAAACACAGAAUAUUUGACUUGUAAUUAUUUCUCUACCUCAGUGACUUCUCUGUUAAGAUGAACAUACAACUGUAUUUUGGGUCAGAUCUUCAGCUGGCAUUAUUUGUUAUAGCAUUACUGGCUUUUCUUGACACUGGUUAAAGUGAUGGUCCUUCAGCAGGCUACAUUUUCACUCAAUCCCUCCUCUAAACGUUUUUAAAUCUUCUAUAACCUAGAGAGAUUGAGUUAUGUAUAAGGUCAAAUUACCAUGAAAAUUAAAUGUAUUGAACAAAAUAAGCACUUUUUCCCCAGUGGUAAUAUCUCCAUGUUCAAAGGUUGAAAUGCAAUAAUAAAAGUGCAGAAAGGAUAGUUGCAACUUUUCAGUUAUAAAAUCAAUUUUGUUCAUGCUGUAGAAUAAAAGUGUGUCUGAGGCAAGUCAUUCAUUAAGAAUUACUGGGGACUUCACUCUGUAUAAUAACCAUGAUACAAAGGGUUUAACAUUCAGCAUGAAUUAUAGUGAAAGCACAUAUUACAUAUAUAUAUACACAGUAUACCAUGAUAAAAUUGUUUAAGCACAUUAUUAAAGUUUCUAAUAAAAUAUUUAACCUUUGUGAGGUAAAA